rnacentral:rRNA from 1 species
AUUGAACGCUAGCGGGAUGCUUUACACAUGCAAGUCGAACGGCAGCGCGGACUUCGGUCUGGCGGCGAGUGGCGAACGGGUGAGUAAUGUAUCGGAACGUGCCCAGUAGCGGGGGAUAACUACGCGAAAGCGUAGCUAAUACCGCAUACGCCCUACGGGGGAAAGCAGGGGAUCGUAAGACCUUGCACUAUUGGAGCGGCCGAUAUCGGAUUAGCUAGUUGGUGAGGUAACGGCUCACCAAGGCGACGAUCCGUAGCUGGUUUGAGAGGACGACCAGCCACACUGGGACUGAGACACGGCCCAGACUCCUACGGGAGGCAGCAGUGGGGAAUUUUGGACAAUGGGGGCAACCCUGAUCCAGCCAUCCCGCGUGUGGGAUGAAGGCCUUCGGGUUGUAAAGCACUUUUGGCAGGAAAGAAACGUCGCGGGCUAAUACCCCGUGGAACUGACGGUACCUGCAGAAUAAGCACCGGCUAACUACGUG